AUUGAACGCUGGCGGAAUGCUUUACACAUGCAAGUCGAACGGUAGAGGGGGCAACCCCUCGAGAGUGGCGAACGGAUGAGUAAUAUAUCGGAACGUGCCCAGUCGUGGGGGAUAACGUAGCGAAAGUUACGCUAAUACCGCAUACGAGCUAAGGAUGAAAGCGGGGGAUCGCAAGACCUCGCGCGAUUGGAGAGGCCGAUAUCAGAUUAGGUAGUUGGUGGGGUAAAGGCUCACCAAGCCAACGAUCUGUAGCUGGUCUGAGAGGACGACCAGCCACACUGGAACUGAGACACGGUCCAGACUCCUACGGGAGGCAGCAGUGGGGAAUUUUGGACAAUGGACGCAAGUCUGAUCCAGCCAUUCCGCGUGCAGGAUGAAGGCCCUCGGGUUGUAAACUGCUUUUGUACGGAACAAAAAGGUCUCUCUUAAUACGGGGGGCUCAUGACGGUACUGUAAGAAUAAGCACCGGCUAACUACGUGCCAGCCGCCGCGGUAA
rnacentral:rRNA from 1 species